UCGGAGGGGACAAGCGUUAUUCGGAAUCACUGGGCGUAAAGGACGCGUAGGCGGGACAGUAAGUCAGAUGUGAAAUCCUAUGGCUCAACCAUAGAACUGCAUUUGAAACUGCUGACCUAGAGUAUGGAAGGGGCAGGUGGAAUUAGUGGUGUAGGGGUAAAAUCCGUAGAUAUCACUAGGAAUACCGAAAGCGAAGGCGACCUGCUGGGACAUUACUGACGCUGAGGCGUGAAAGCGUGGGGAGCAAACAGGAUUAGAUACCCUGGUAGUCCACGCCCUAAACGAUGAAUGCUAGUCGUCGGGGCUCUAGUAGCUUCGGUGAUGCACUUAACAGAUUAAGCAUUCCGCCUGGGGAGUACGGUCGCAAGAUUAAAACUCAAAGGAAUAGACGGGGACCCGCACAAGUGGUGGAGCAUGUGGUUUAAUUCGAAGAUACGCGAAGAACCUUACCUAGCCUUGACAUUGAUUGAAUUCUGUAGAGAUACGGAAGUGCCUUUCGGGGAACAUGAAAACAGGUGCUGCACGGCUGUCGUCAGCUCGUGUCGUGAGAUGUUGGGUUAAGUCCCGCAACGAGCGCAACCCUCGUCGUUAGUUGCUAACAGGUUAAGCUGAGCACUCUAGCGAGACUGCCUUCGCAAGGAGGAGGAAGGUGAGGACGACGUCAAGUCAUCAUGGCCCUUAUGGCUAGGGCUACACACGUGCUACAAUGGGGCGUACAGAGAGUUGCGAUACCGCGAGGUGGAGCCAAUCUCAUAAAGCGUCUCUCAGUUCGGAUUGUUCUCUGCAACUCGAGAACAUGAAGCUGGAAUCACUAGUAAUCGUAGAUCAGCAAUGCUACGGUGAAUACGUUCCCGGGUC
rnacentral:rRNA from 1 species